ACAUCAUAGAAGACCCUCCGCAGGCAUUCGCGUUGAGGUUCCGGUCUCGCGCAAUGGAAGCCUGUGAACCAUGUCAGGCGGGGAACCGAGCAGCAUUAAGCGGGACGAUAUGUGCCGCGAGGGUGCCGGUUCGGAGCGGAUGCUUGCGGAGGCUCUUCUGUGGUGU
rnacentral:SRP_RNA from 1 species